rnacentral:rRNA from 1 species
CCUACGGGGGGCAGCAGUGAGGAAUAUUGGUCAAUGGACGAGAGUCUGAACCAGCCAAGUAGCGUGAAGGAUGACUGCCCUAUGGGUUGUAAACUUCUUUUAUAUGGGAAUAAAAUGUUCCACGUGUGGGAUUUUGUAUGUACCAUAUGAAUAAGGAUCGGCUAACUCCGUGCCAGCAGCCGCGGUAAUACGGAGGAUCCGAGCGUUAUCCUGAUUUAUUGGGUUUAAAGGGAGCGUAGGUGGAGUGUUAAGUCAGUUGUGAAAGUUUGCGGCUCAACCGUAAAAUUGCAGUUGAAACUGGCAGUCUUGAGUACAGGAGAGGUGGGCGGAAUUCGUGGUGUAGCGGUGAAAUGCUUAGAUAUCACGAAGAACUCCGAUUGCGAAGGCAGUUCACUGGACUGCAACUGACACUGAGGCUCGAAAGUGUGGGUAUCAAACAGGAUUAGAUACCCUAGUAGUC